UGUGGUCAUGUUGAGCACCUUUGGGUACGAACAAUGGUGGUGUGCCGUAGAGGUUACAAUUCAAGCCUUUUGAAAAACUGACAUAAUUCGGGAAAAGGUCGCUGACAUCAUAUCUUGCAAAAAUUUUUAUUUAUACGUUUGAAAAAACAUAUUUUGUUAUGUACAUGCCAUGUCACUACUUUUCGCAUUUCAUCAUUGUUAAUGGCAUUAUAUACCUUCGGAUUUUAAGCAUUUUUCUAUAGUUUGCCUAGGCCUACGCAGGAUUUUUAUCUUCUUUAAUAUAUUGUAGUGACUUUAUUUAUAUUGCUGGUAGUACUUUGUAGUUCUUUGAUUGUUAUUCUUGACAACGCAUCUGCUAUAUAAUUAUCCUUACCCUCUAGAUCAGCCCAGUCGUAAGUUGCGGAACGUGUUUUAAAAAAACAUAGUUCUGGGUCGUACCUUUUUUACGCAAAACAGCACGCAUGCAAAUUUUCCAAGGCAAAUGUGCGUGCUGGGUGCAUUCUAUUGCGGUGCCUUCUAGAAGUGUUUCAGAAUAAUGCAUCCAGAAGCAUGCCCAAACACCCGUUUCGGGAACGUAUUCCAAAUGAAAUAGUUCUGGGUCGUAUCUUUUUUACGCAAAACAGCACGCAUGCAAAUUUACCCAGCAAAAUGUGCGUGCUGGGGGCAGUCUUUUGGGUGCCAUCUGGGUGUAUUUCAAUAUAGUGCAUCCAGGUGCAUUUUAGUGGGAAUGUAAAAAAACCAAACUCAAACCCGAAGGUUGCCGAUGCGCAUUUUUUUUACAAUCGUCUUUUUUCGGAACUGUUCUCUUGACAAACAAAUAAUAAAGACAAAAGGGAACAUGCAAGGAAGCGAGCGGUUUUUCUUGUCUCUUGCAUUUCUCGUCAGUUGCAUUUUUAGUUCUGAAAAGUGAAGUUCGUGCCACGUGUUUUGAAAAAGUUUGUUGCUUUCUGCCACCAAUUUUACAUCAAUAUUUUCACAGAAUCGCAAAAAAUGAAUGGGCACACCAAGGACUGAACUGCGUAAAUGACAAAAGUACAUAAACAAGAAGGAAGCACCAAAGCACCGUACAGAAGGGGAGUUACUCCGAUUAAAAAUUAGUUGCGUUUUUGAAUAUUGAAAUGAAAAUAAAUAUGAAAUUGAAAUCCA